rnacentral:rRNA from 1 species
GAUGAACGCUGGCGGCGUGCCUAAUACAUGCAAGUCGAGCGAACGGACGAGAAGCUUGCUUCUCUGAUGUUAGCGGCGGACGGGUGAGUAACACGUGGCUAACCUACCUAUAAGACUGGGAUAACUUCGGGAAACCGGAGCUAAUACCGGAUAAUAUUUUGAACCGCAUGGUUCAAAAGUGAAAGACGGUCUUGCUGUCACUUAUAGAUGGAUCCGCGCUGCAUUAGCUAGUUGGUAAGGUAACGGCUUACCAAGGCAACGAUGCAUAGCCCACCUGAGAGGGUGAUCGGCCACACUGGAACUGAGACACGGUCCAGACUCCUACGGGAGGCAGCAGUAGGGAAUCUUCCGCAAUGGGCGAAAGCCUGACGGAGCAACGCCGCGUGAGUGAUGAAGGUCUUCGGAUCGUAAAACUCUGUUAUUAGGGAAGAACAUAUGUGUAAGUAACUGUGCACAUCUUGACGGUACCUAAUCAGAAAGCCACGGCUAACUACGUG